GAUGAACGCUGGCGGCGUGCCUAAUACAUGCAAGUCGAGCGAACAGACGAGGAGCUUGCUCCUCUGACGUUAGCGGCGGACGGGUGAGUAACACGUGGAUAACCUACCUAUAAGACUGGGAUAACUUCGGGAAACCGGAUCUAAUACCGGAUAAUAUAUUGAACCGCAUGGUUCAAUAGUGAAAGACGGUUUUGCUGUCACUUAUAGAUGGAUCCGCGCCGCAUUAGCUAGUUGGUAAGGUAACGGCUUACCAAGGCAACGAUGCGUAGCCGACCUGAGAGGGUGAUCGGCCACACUGGAAGUGAGACACGGACCAGACACCUACGGGAGGCAGCAGUAGGGAAUAUGACGCAAUGGGGGAAAGCCUGACGGAGCAAGGGCGCGUGAGAGAAGAAGGUCUUCGGAUCGGAAAACUCUGUUAUUAGGGAAGAACAAAUGUGUAAGUAACUAUGGACGUAGUGACGGUAACUAAUAAGAAAGCAACGGCUAACUACGUG
rnacentral:rRNA from 1 species